GUUAAAUCUCUGGAAGACCUCAGGAUUCCUGUGAUAACUUUAUUAUAUUCUGUUUUUCAGCACAAGAAGAGCCUCUUCAGGUGUUGUGGACGUGUAACUGCUACUGAACUGCAGAACAUAAUAUGAGGUGGGGGGUGGACAGGCUACUCCAAGUCAUGGCCUCACAGAAACAGUUUCAGUAGAGAGGAAACCUCACAUUCUCUUGGAACUUCCAUGAAUUUAAGUGAGGACCCAUUGGCAGUGGUGAAACAGGAAGUUAGUUCUAUUUUUGACACUGGUCAUGGGGAUGAGGGUAGUGAACUUCAUACUUGUUAAUCAGCACACAGUGAUGGGCCUUGGCAGAAGUGCAGGCUGAGCCCAGGAGAUUACAGUCGUGGGGAAACUCAGUUUCCCAACCAACAGUGGCAGAAACUUCCUGAGUAGAGGGAAUGGAUGAGCAUCUGCUGCUCAGCUGAAUAGGGAUAGUUCUCUUGAGGCCACAGAUAGAGUCACACAGUCCAGAACUACCCUCAGAGCUUUAGUCUUGGCCCACCCAGCUCCUGCAGAGCUAUGGGGACUGGAGCACCGUGCUGAAGAUAACCCUCAGCACACCUUGCUGGGGUCCGGGCCUGUAUGGAAGCCCUCUGGUUGGCUGUGUCCCAGCUUUCACAUACCCAACAAGAACCUCAGCGCUUCUGAGUAGAGCAAGUUAACACUUGGGAUGCACCGAUAUAGCUGUAGUUUGUGCGUGCUGUACUCAUUAGCAUGACUUGAUGAGAGCUUGUGUUGUACAAAGCAAGUUGGGUUUUGAGGUUUGCUCACUGCACACCCCACUCUAUUGCCAGUAGACAUGGGGAGAAGCUCUAACCCUGGGUUUGUACCACAUCUCACUGGGGAGCCUGUGGGUGCCUGUGCCACAAACAGUCUGUGAGCUGACAAAUCCUUAAGCAUGGUGGCAGUUCUCAUGCUUGUGAAAAACGAGGGGUAAGGGGGAUAGGUAGGGGUUCUUCCUUUCAUGAAUGACAAACUACUGAAAUCCAAAGCUCACUGAAAAUAACCUUCUAAAAAUGAAAUUGGAAGGUGUGAUUAAGGCGGUAUGAUCCUUCAGUUACAGCAAACUUCCAAUGCUGUUCUUUGUCUCUUGUGUGGUUCACAGAAAAAGUGGAUGUGUAACAUAGGUAAGACUUGCUGGAAUUUGCGUGGAAUCAUGCAUUGCUGCAAGGAAAUCCUGCAAGGAAACUGCUAAUGCUGGAGUCCCUGGUUAUGUGUAACAGUAUACUCACUUUCUCUGGCUAUUCAGAUGCAGUGGCAUGAAGUUACGCAUUGGUUUUGGUGCCAUUCAUCUGAAAAUCCAAACGUUUGCAGUGUGAGUGCGUUAACAGCAAUGCAGUCAAAGCAUUCCUUAACGCACACAAGCCAUUUCCUUUUGGGUGACAGUGCAAUGUGAAGAAGCACCCAGCUGCCAGGAGGUGUCACUUGGUAGCAACUCCUGUGCUGGAAUCCCCUGAGUUUGCUGCUCCUCUCUUUGACGGAGGUUUCAUAUCAUAAAUCAUAGAAUGGCCUGGGUUGGAAGGGACCUCAAGGAUCGCAAAGCACCGAACCCCCACAUGGCAUGCAGGGCUACCGACCUUCACAUUUAGUACCAGGCCAGGCUGCCCAGGGCCCCAUCCAACCUGGCCUUGAACACCUCCAGGGACGGGGCAUCCACAGCCUCUCUGGGCAGUCUGUUCCAGCACCUCGCCACUCAUAGUAAACAACUUCCCCAGUAUCCAACCUAAAUCUUCCCUCCUUCAACUUAAAACUAUUUCCCCUUGUCCUGCUGUUAUCUACCCUUUCAAGGAGUUCACUCCCCUCCUGUUUAUAGGCUCCCUUUAGGUACUGGAAGGCUGCAAUGAGGUCACCCUGCAGCCUUCUCUUCUCCAGGCUGAACAAGCCCAGCUCCCUCAGCCUGUCUUCAUAGGGAAGGUGCCCUAGCCUUCUCAUCAUCUUUGUGGCCCUCCUCUGGACCUGCUCCCACAGCUCCCUGUUGGGUUUUCCCAAAUUAUUUCACUAUGUUGUCAUUCAUUGGCUCUUUCCCACCUCAUCACGUACCUGACUAUUUUGUGUUUGGUUUUGCAAUUUCUCUGCAAAUACCUCUUCCUGGAAAACAGAAUAACAGUAAGUAGCUCAAGCUGCUGGCCAAGCUUCCAUUCCUGUGGUUUCACUUGCUCUGUUCUGUCAAGUUAUUUACAUGCAGCGUCCUAAGGAUAUAAUUGAGUGGAGUGCUAGUAAGCACUAACCUUUGUGUCUGCCCUCAGUCCAUGUAGGUCAGGCUUACCCAAGCUGUUUCCUACAGUGAAUUCACUGCCUACUCCUGGAGCCCUUGGUUGCACUAUUUCAUGAAAGCAGCAUGACCUGCUCUUGCAGGAACUACAAAAAGGGCAGAUUAGCAUCAGUCUCUUUACCUGCUGUGUUGCACAACCCAGAUCUGUUCUGAACCUUGCUCUUGCAUACACGAGCCCUAGGGUGCGCAAGUGAAAGGCAUUAUCACAUCUUAACAGCUCUGGUGUGCUUCAGUAUAGGAGAAAGAUUUCAAAGGUAGGCCAGGUGUUUGAGAUUGACUAUUUACAUUACCUUGCUCAAAACAGAGCUGCCAGCUUAUUCCCUGUUCUGAAUUCAUCUGUACCAGAGCCGUCUUGUACUCGGAGCCUUUUGGGGCAUGCAUUCCCCAGGCUUUGAAUUCCGAGAAUGCAGCUGUGUGAUUCAGACUGGAUGGCACGGCUCAUUUAAGGAGUUCGGUGUUAUCUUUUGUCCUUUGCUCUCCUGUGCCACACCGCACUGUGCCUGGCAUGCCAACAGGUCUGUCUGUAGCAGCAGGGUGAUUAGCAGGCUGUUACAUGUCCAGCCCCAUGCCUGCUUUUCUUUAGCCGAAGUUGGAAGUGUAGGAAGUUUGUGCAACUUCUCUAAAAGCCUGGAGGGGAUCAAUGAGGUACUUGAGAGCGUUUGCAACAUGGCAGCAAAAGCUGGUGAUCAGGCACGCAGCAAAACUCAGUCCUUGGGUUGCUGCAGCCUUCAUCUCAUUAAACCAUGCACCUAAUGAUGGGGUUUGGUUUGUAGGGGAGGAGCAGCAACACGUCCCUUGUGUAUGUGAUGGUUAAUGGUGUUUUUUCCUGCUUUAGGUCUUUGAUGCGUGACUGCUGGGUGUUUCGCUGUGUGCUGCCUCCUGAGCAGGCUUGAGGAACCCUGAUGUCUGUGAGCAGCAUUGGUGAUGCUAGGUGUAGUCAAGCAAAUGAUGAGAAAGCUAGACUAAGAUGUGGUGUAGGUUUCCCAUAGUUUUGUCUUUUAUAACUGUUACAGAGGGUACACAUUUAUUGUAUGACACAACUUCUUACAAUUAAGGAUUUACAUGUUACACCUGCACACCUAGCCAAAUACACCCUUUCUAUUUAAUGGCAAGGUAGAUUUGCACGGAGAGAAAUGGGUAGUCAGCCAUUUCAUGUAUAGGAUGGGUGUUUUCCAUGUCAGUGUUUUUGCACUGCCCCCUGAUAAGAGUACACAGUGGAAUUCCUUACCAUGCAAAUGUGUUCUACUGUCUCCACUCUGGUGACGGUGAAUCGUGUCCUCUGUGAGCCUUUGCUUUCACUGUAGCCAUUUCUGCUGAAAUAAUCCCCAGAGGGAUUAUUGCUGUCAUUAGGCUUUCUGGAUAAAUGAGAGGCAGAUGCGGUCCUUGUGUGAAUUGGCAGGAGGGUGUUGCACAGCCAGGUGGGUGCUGCAUCUCACCUGGGAUGUAGAACAGUGUCUUGUUAAUGAGUUUGUCCCAGUGAAGUCCAUUAACCCUCCUGCAGAUCCCUGCCAGCUGAAAGCUCCAUUCAAAUCCUGGGUAGUGGGGUGACCACUGGCCCAAUCCUCCCCGCUAUAUGUAUUUAUAAUAUAUUGCCUGUAUUUCUUGAUACAAUUUUUAUAUAAAUCAAUAAGUCAAGGGAGUCAAGGAAAAAUAGGGAAGUAUGAUGUGCUGCUGAGAGAAUCCUGGAAUAGAGUGGCAGUUCCCUGUUGAGAACAGCUCAGAGGUGUCCUGGACAAUACAGUUUGUGUGCAUGUUUCUGCUUUGUUCAAGUUUUUAAUCCCAUCCGUCUUUCCGACUCUCAUCCCUGAGAAGGUCCUUUGGCUGUGGAUUAACCUUGUCAGGAGAACCAAGGCAUGUGACAUGCUUGGCGACAGGGGCAGGUACGUGUGGGGCUCUCCCAAGUUGCUGUCAGCACCUCAGCUUUGCAGAUCUCCAGAAUGGAUGAUGUUGCUGCCACUCAUUCUGAGUGGUUGCUGCCUCAUUUAUGUGAGUUUGAUGGUACGUCAAAUAUCCAAACCUCUUGCUACAAUUCAUUAUCUGAAGGUAAAUUUAGGCACAAGUCAACAGCCAAGAUCCUUGGCUUUGAAUACGCUUGCCUUCCUGUAACACUCAUUCAUUCAAUUUGUUCCUUUGUUCCCAUCCACCACUCAUGAAGGGCUUUUGGAGUUGUCACUGUUUCAUUCUAGAUAACACCCCAGUUGUCCGUGCUUGUUCUUUUCUGUAGUAAUUCCUGUUGGCUGCACAGCACUUCACAGUCAGUAUUCACUGUGCAUGAGAGCCCUCACACAGUCCCACAUUUGGAGCUGGUGGCUGCACUCCUCCAGCUGUUGCAUCUCAUCAUCCUAGGAAAGAAAAGAAGGAAGGUUGGAUGUGUUGUGAUCAAAUGCUCUUCCUUUGCCCUAACCUGGAAAUCUUGCAGGAGGGUUCUGAAAUCUUUUACCAAGUAGGAAGGCUCUGAGCUUGAAACACAAAUGUGGCACCACUCUUUUUCAGACGCUCCUUCAGAGAGGUGUUGAGGGGAACAGAGUUUGAUCCUUUCUUUUUAGCUGGUGUUUCAGUUAAUAACCUGAAGAAAAACCUUCCGUUUCAUACCAUCAUUUUAAUGCAAAGGCCAAUAAGUGACAUUUCUUAGGCAUUUGUUUCAUGCUUUAUGUUACAGCUGCAUGUAUUCACGCAUUUACUCAAACAUUCAUAUAGAAUCAUCUAAUCCUUAGAGUUGGAAGGGCCCUUUGAAGGCCAUCUGGUCCAACUCCCUGCAAUGAACAGGGACACCACAGCUCAGUCAGGUUGCCCAGGGCCUGAUCCAGCCUCACCUUGAAAGUCUCCAGGGACGGGGCAUCAACCACAUCACAAGGCAACCUGUUCCAGUGCCUCACCACCCUCGCUGUAAAAGACUUUUUCCUUAUAUCCAGCCUGAAUCUCCCCUCUUCAAGCUUGAAACCGUUUCCCUUUGUUCUAUCACAACAGACCCCGCUAAAAAGGUCUCUUUCUUCUUCCCUUCUUUCCUUUUGUUCACUUAUCUAAUGUUAAAAUUGGGCCAUAGGACACAAAAGUUGUUGAGCUCAAGCUUCAGAGGACCUGGUUCCUGCAGUGGUACCUUCAGGGGGUAAAUCACUUAUGCCUCAGGACCGUGCUGUGUGCUGGAUGGCUUCUCUAAGUAGCUCCUUCCAGUUCCUCAACUGAUGACACCUGGGGUUGAAUAGUAGACCUCUAUAGUCAUGUGCCUUAAGGACCUCACAGACACAAGUGCCAUGCUGAAGGUAUCAAGUGAAGGCACAACUCAAGUGUCGCUGGAAACAAAGCAGUCACCCCUGAUGUGCAAUGGUGCAAAGACUUUGCAGCUAACACAGCCCUUCUUUACAGUGUUCUUAAGACUAUUAUCCCUUGGAAAGCUAUUUAAUAACAUUUUUUUGUAAAGAGGAGUUCCAAAUACCUCAGUGCUUUACAUCUAUAGUAGUUCUUCUCCCCCAUCACAGACCUUCGUGGGGAUGACUGUAUGUAUAGCACUGGCAGUCCCAGCAAUGUUUGGCUGUGGCUGCAAUGGGAACAGCGUGGCUCCCCAACUGCAGAGCCGCAGUACACAUAAUGCUAACAGGAGAGGGAGGGGCUCAGCCCUUCCCAAGGUUCCCCCUGCUCAGGUCACACCUCUGAAGCCUUCAGUGUAUGCAGGUACUGCACAGUGCUGCAGAGUGUGUGUCAGAUGUGCGGGUCCCUGCUUGCUUUGACAUGAGAGAAGCUACUUCAGUUGCUGCUUCCGUUCAGGACCAAAAUGCACAAAAGAAAUAGCAGAAUAAAAUGGCAGCACUCUGGCAUUGAUUAGGGACCACAACUAAGACACUGUUGUUAGAUUUGUGCAUGAAAUUAGUGGGGCAUCACCAGAUUUGAGGCGUGUAACGCAUGCCCGGUCCAUAGCUUUGCUUGCAGCCUGCAAAGAGGAUCGUGGACAUCCCAGCACCUCUUAUCCUGAUUUGAGAAUCUAGGUUUGUAGAACACAGGAUAGCCAAAGCCUGAUCCCAAAUGUUAUUUGUGUACGUAUAAUUAUUCUCAGGUGGAAUCCACCUAUUUCUGACAGCUAACGACUAGACAGUUAAUUAUGUGACAACUGUAAUGCCUCAAUUCUCAUGCUGCGUUACAGGGAAACUAAUUUCUCUCUUGAGAUGUCUGAUCCUCUCAGCUGACUACAGAGGGAGCAGAAGUUAGGACAGCUCAAAGGUACCCACACAUCUACCUUAAGUAAGCCUCACCCAGCAUGUCUGCUGGCUGAUGUUACUAACAUUGGGUAAUGCCUGCCUCAUCUCUGAAGGUCUGUAGGUGUUUAUCAUAUUGUGUGGGAUCUCAUUUCAUAGCUGAUGACAUAAACCGCGACAGUUACUUAUGUAAUUAGCAGAUAGUCAUUAGCUUUUGUAAAAUCAGUAGAAUUCCACAUGGGAGCAAUUGCACAAGUGUUAGUAGUUCAGGCUGUUGUUGACUGGAGAGCUGUUAGGAAGUACCUAAUGAACAGCAAUAGUUCAUGGUGAUGGAAAACUUACCAUGUUCUAAUACAGAGUGUUUCAUAUUCUGUAUUGGAUGCUCUAUUGGGAACUCUCCUACUGUAAUGCCUUUUUAAAAGAUAUAGGGGGAAAAAAAAGCACAUUUGAACAAAAACUCAAAAAUUUCUAUCCUUGGUUUCAGUUCAGGAGGUGCGUUUUCAAAACUGAAUUCCUGUCUAAAGUGCUCUAAGUCGCAAAAAAAAUACCAGCAGUCUUCAUUUUGAAUGGUUCCAGAUGUACAACACAGAUGAGGCCAUAGGAUCUGCUACGGUAGAUAACACCCUUAUCAGUUUGCAGAAAUAGAGCAAACGAGAGACCAACUCCAGCAGAAGACUGAAGAUUUGCAAAGCAUCUUCCACAGUGCCUACGAACAGCAGAUUAUUUCUGGCUCUCCAUUCCACAAAACGCAGGUAGCAGCAAACACACACAAGCAGGAUCUGUGUCCUUGCCUUCUGCAGGCCUGAAGCCUUUUGAACCAGCUCCAACACUGUCCAAAGUGCAAGAAGGGUGGUUGAUUUAAUUGAAGGCAGAUAAAUGCUAUGGGAAUGAUUAAAAGGAUUCAAGGAACAGAGUCAGAAAGAUAAAACGAGCUUAUUGCAGGCAGGGAUAUAUUCAUGGCAUCAGUAUAUGCUGUGGCUCUUCCAGUACACUUUCCAGUCUACACAAGGCCGUGCAGAGCUACCUGCAGGAUUUUAAGUGUGCCCAUUGCUUGAGCUCUGUUUGAGGUUAACAAUAUGGAAAACCUGGUGUGUGAUUCCUUGCUGCAAGGACCUGCUGGUGUACAUGUGGGCUUUCAGGUUAUGGAAAUGACCCAUUAUUUAUAAAAUAGCUUCUUCCUGUUUGCAGUGAUGCAGUGAAAUACUGAGUCAUCUCUAAACCUUUAGCCUUCCCUGAACAGCCUUUCUCAUUUGCGGCAUCUUACAUUUGGGUUGAUAGCAGUAGAGAGGAGAUUUUACUUGAACAUAUCACUUAUGGAUGAAUUGCUGCACCUGUAAAGAAAGCAUGUCCUGGAACUGCACUUCAGAUCUGUAGUUAUCAAGACUGACUUCAUUCCAUACACAAACUCCUCUGGUUUUAUAGGACUUACAGUGGUAUGUUGGUAUGCCCUAACUGUGCUUUAAGUGCAUCAUGGCAGUAACCACUCCUGUCCUCAGUUUUUCCAACAUGGAAAAAUGGGCAGCUUCCCACUUCUCAUAUUGACUUGAAGUGGUUUCUUGCCCAAUAACAAGAUUGCUUUGUGUUGCAUGCCAAGAUACCCAAUUCUCUUCCCACAGAGCAAAGCGCCUGGGGCCUAAGAAGUUCUGGCUUCAGCUGGGAGCUGUACUUUAUUUCUCUGUCUUUUUCAACCUUUUUCAAUCUCUGCGGAACGCUGUAGAACAGAAUCAUAGAAUCACCAAGGUUGAAAGAGGCCUACAAGGUCAUCCAGUCCAACCAUCUACCUAUCACCAGUACUUCUCACUUAGCCACGUUCCUCAGUCUGACCCUUUAAGGGAUGAAAUGGAGGAGGCAUCUGAAAACAGAACAUGUCUCAUCUCUGCCUCGCGGCAAUGCUGUGAUGAUGUUUCAUCUUGUGAGAAGCCAAGGGGAAGAGAACUUACUAUAGUGAAAACAUCUACUCACAAGCUAUUUAAACUGAACUAAAACAAGCACUACAACCAGCUGGGACUGCAAUGAUUAAAGUCUCCGCAGUUAUUACAGGGUUUGGUUUUCUACUGAAACAACACAUGCUGCAGACUAAGAUGAAGGAAGGAAGUAUGCACUGGUACAAUAGCAGACAAAAAUACCACUCAUUACCCUUCUGCUGACUGGCCAUGAGUGGCUUCGGAUAGACACGUCUGUCUUCUAAGAUAAAUCAGCAAUGCAAAGCCCAAGUGUAUAUAAAAAAUGCCAUUUUUUUAACACACAAAGAUCAAUUUUAGAGCUGUGGAGGUGCUAAGCAGCAUGCGGAGCGCUUGUAUCUCUCAGAAAUUUAGCUGAACCAAGUACCUAGGAAGCCAUGAGCAGACUGAAAGCAGCAGUGAAGCUGCAGGGCAAGCUGUCAUCUUCUUCUCACUUGUCCCUGAAAUGCCCCGACCAAAAUGAACCAUAGAAGCGUCUUAGAAUCAUAGGAUGGUUUGGGUUGGAAGGUCAUCCAGUUCCAACCCCCUGUCAUGGGCUGGUUGCUACCACCACACUGGGCUGCCCAGGGCCCAUCCAACCUGGCCUGGAGCACCUCCAGCGAUGGGGCAUCCACAACUCUCUGGGCAGCAGUGUCAAGGCCUCACCACCCACUCAGCAAAAUAUUUUCCCAACAUCCAAUCUAGAUCUCCUCUUUUUUAGUUUAAAACCAUCCGCCUUGUCCUAUCUCUAUCUGCCCAUGCAUAAAGUUGAUUUCCUUCCUGCUUAGUAGCUCCCUUUAAGUACUGGAAGGCUGCAAGGAGAUCUCCCAGGAGCCUUCUCUUCUCCAAGCUGAACACACUCAGCUCCCUCAGCCUUUUUUUAUAGGAGAGGCCAGCCCAUGUCUUCCCGAGCCAGAACGGCCCCUCACACACAAAGAGGAAAACAUAGGAGGCUUUUAAAAGCUGAUGGCUGGGUUGAAAGACUUGAAUUGACAAGAAAAGAAUGGCUGUGAGGAGAUACUGUACUGAAUAAAUAUUAAUUAUUUUUGUAAACCCCAAUGGAUGCUAAUAGUGGUCUUGCAUUUGCAGUGUCGUCCGGAAGGCAGAACCCUCACACACAGCGUGUGGGAGUGCACAGAUGAACAGGAGUCUUCAUGCAUGAAAAUGGGCGUAUGUAUUUCAUGAACUAGAUUGUUCAGCAGAUUUUGCUUAACCUGCUUUGCACUAUGCCACCAAAAUGAGGACAACUGCAGACGUGUAUGUAAAGUGGCAAAUAUUAGCAAAAUUAAUUCCAAAGCAUGACCUCUUUCAAGGCACUUUACAAACAAAUAGUAAUAAUGGGGCCACAAUUUAGUGAUUUCUAAGCUAUCUACAUUGAGUUUUGAAAUGUAUCUGAAAAUGAGUGCCAUCAAAGAACACAACGGAAAUUGGGCUCUGCCUUCCCAAAUUCUUUUAAGAGUUUCCUGGAAAAAAAAAAAAAGAGUGCUGGGAUGGGCACAGCAGCAGGUGCAGGAGGACAAGGCAGACAGAGAGCAGUGUGUGUGCAUUAUCUGCUCCGGCAGCAGGGACCCAGUGUCACGUGUAUUGUGUCACCAAGCCACAGCCAGAGAGGAGGAGGGCAAGCCCUGCUUGUUAUAGCUGUUAAAGCCAGAACACCAUUUCUCAUAGUGAAAUCAUAGAAUCAUAGAAUGGCCUGGGUUGAAAAGGACUACAAUGAUUAUCUAGUUGCAACCCCCCUGCUAUGUGCAGGGUCACCAACCACCAGACCAGGCUGCCCAGAGCCACAUCCAGCCUGGCCUUGAAUGCCUCCAGGGAUGGGGCAUCCACAACCUCCUUGGGCAACCUGUUCCAGUGUGUCACCACCUGCUGUGUGCAAACUGCUGUUGGAGAUGAUUCAGCCAUCAUCUGCACGUUAAAUGUCUGAAAAGACCUUUCGUUACCACAUCAAGCACUGCCAGAGGACCACAUCAAACUGCUACCAUGGAGUAACAGUGAGAUUCAAAGCUGUGGCACAGGCACUGUAGGACCGCCUGGCACUGAGCUGAAGGUGCAACUACUGUCUGCGUGCAUCACUGAAUUGGCCUGAGACCAAACUACACACUUAAUAUCCAACAGCCACCAAUGCCCAGUGACAUGUUAACCACGUCAAUAAACAAUUAGCUAAACAGGUGCUGGGUUCUCCUGGUUAAAAGAAAACCAGACCUUCAUUAAAUUCUAAGAUAAGGUUGGAAAAAGAAUUGUUUCUGUAAUCCAGUUAUCUGCUGCAUUAAUUUGGGAACUGGCUAAUUUCGAUCGCUUGAUUUGUUGGCUUAACUAAAAUUG
ensembl:lncRNA